UCCGAGUUGACCCCGGCAGUCCUCCCAGAGUCCUCGGCAUGACCCGGUAGCAACUGGGAGCGGGGGUUGCGCUCGUUGCGGGACUUAACCCAACAUCUCACGACACGAGCUGACGACAGCCAUGCAGCACCUGUCGAGGGACUCCGAAGAGGGGUCCUGGUUUCUCAGGACUUUCCCCUCGAUGUCAAGCCCAGGUAAGGUUCUUCGCGUUGCGUCGAAUUAAACCACAUGCUCCACCGCUUGUGCGGGCCCCCGUCAAUUCCUUUGAGUUUCAGCCUUGCGGCCGUACUCCCCAGGCGGGGCACUUAAUGCGUUAGCGCCGGCACCCAGGGGGUCGCUCCCCCAGGCACCUAGUGCCCAUCGUUUACGGCGUGGACUAC
rnacentral:misc_RNA from 1 species